rnacentral:rRNA from 1 species
GGAGUUAGCCGGUGCUUCUUCUGUGAGUGAUGUCCUUCCUGCCGGCUAUUAACCCGCAGGCCUUCUUCCUCACUGAAAGUGCUUUACAACCCGAAGGCCUUCUUCACACACGCGGCAUGGCUGGAUCAGGGUUGCCCCCAUUGUCCAAUAUUCCCCACUGCUGCCUCCCGUAGGAGUCUGGGCCGUGUCUCAGUCCCAGUGUGGCUGAUCAUCCUCUCAGACCAGCUACGGAUCGUCGCCUUGGUGAGCCGUUACCUCACCAACCAGCUAAUCCGACAUAGGCUCAUCCGAUAGCGCGAGGCCCGAAGGUCCCCCGNUUUCCCCCGUAGGGCGUAUGCGGUAUUAGCCUGGGUUUCCCCAGGUUAUCCCCCACUACCGGGCAGAUUCCUAUGCAUUACUCACCCGUCCGCCGCUCGCCACCAGGGAGCAAGCUCCCCGUGCUGCCGCUCGACUUGCAUGUGUUAGGCCUGCCGCCAGCGUUCAAUCUGAACCAGAUCAAAUUCUGA